CUCUUUCUAGGGGCCAUGGUUUGUAUCUUUCUGUGUCUGUUACCUACCACUACUUACCUUGCUAGUCACUUCAGUGAUGCUAACAAAGGAGUGUACAUUAGUCCAGGUUCUUGGUUGCAAAACCAGAAACUGAUUCUGGAAAACUUAGUAAGAAAAGGAAAUCAUUGGUAGAGUCUUGGAUUGCUUACAGAAUUUGAGAAAAGGCCAGAGUUCCAGAUCCCAGCAAAAAUAGAGGAGGAAAGCACAGUCAAGACCUUUUCACAGCAACUGCCUCUUAGGAUGUCAUCUCUACUGUUGUCGCCAUGGAUACACGCUGCUGGCCAACCUGAUCAUGCCGUUGCUAUGCUGUGGGACUCUUCUAACCCUGGACCCUGGAAUCUAGACUCCAUGGCCACAGCUGAAGUGACUAAUGCUGUCUGAUCCUACCUUGAGCAUCAAGAACUGGUAGAGGCAUCUGCUCAGCCACUCUAUCUGCCAGGGACAGGGGAAGUGUAAUGUCCACCUCCCCUGGCUUCUGUAGCAGGAGUUGAAGCCUGACCUCUCACCGUUGUCGGGAGUCUCCUCAAAUAAGAAGUGUGUUUGGAUAGUUGUCAGCCAAAAUGUCAAAUAUCCAUUAUGAAUGGUGAUGAUGACAAAACACAGACCAUAGCUUUUGCUUUUGUACAAUAAUAUUGUCUGGAGCCAGCCCUGAUCGCCUAGUGGGUAAAGUUCAGUGCACUCUGCUUCAGUGGCCCAGGUUCAGUUCCUGCAUGAGGAAUCACACCACUCAUCAGUCAACUGCCAUGCUGUGGUGGCAGCUCACAUAGAAGAACUAAAAGGACCUACAACCAGAAUAUACAGCCAGGUGAUUGUCUUCAGCUGACAGGAGCUGCCUCAUUGCCCUCCCCCUUCACCACACGCAGGAGCAGCGUGAAGCCAAAGACUGACACAGGAGUACAAAAAGCCAGUUCCCUCACCUCAAUGGGGGAUAAACAACGUGGUGCAAUUCGUGCUUUAGUGCUCCCUAUGGGAUCAGCCUGAAGCCAGGCCCCGCUGAGGCCCCAUGCCUGCCUAGUUUCUUCCCCUGCCCUAUCCUGGUUCAUGG
rnacentral:lncRNA from 1 species